rnacentral:tRNA from 1 species
AAAGGGAGACCUAAUUCAGGUAUGGGAUGAAAAAAAAGUAGUCCCUACCAAGAAUCAAUCCCAAAAGGUCGGAACGAGGUAUGAGGCUUUCAAACUAGGUUCUGGGUUCAUAAAAGACCUGAAUCAGGAACAAGGGCUAUUAGCUCAGGUGGUUAGAGCGCACCCCUGAUAAGGGUGAGGUCCCUGGUUCGAGUCCAGGAUGGCCCACCUGCACAGGUGGCAAAAACAAGAGAAGCGAGGAAUCAGCACCUUAUCUUGUAUACAUAUAUAAGAGAGAAUGCUGGCUCUGAGUACAGAGUCCAGAGGAACCUUGAAAACUGCAUAGAGCUAGGUGAAAAAGCCAAAAAAGAAGACCGCAAG